CCAAGAUCUCUUUGAAAACAGACAACGGGUGACACUCCAUGUUUAAUCGGCAAGAUUUUAUUUCUUUUUUAGGGUUAUGGAAAACAAUGACUCAUCUUACUAUUGUGACAGUGGUGGUUUGUAUAUGCUUGGCCCAAGGAGUGGCACUAUUAGAAGGUGUGGCCCUGUUGAAGUAGGUGUGUCACUGUGGGUGUGAGCUUUAAUACCCUCAUCCUAGCUGCCUGAAAAUCAGUCUUCCACUAGCAGCCUUCAGAUGAAGAUGUAGAACUCUCAGCUCCUCCUGCACCAUGCCUGUCUGGAUGCUGCUCUGAUCCAACCUUGAUGAUAAUGGACUGAACCUCUGAACCUAACUGCAGGAACAAAAAUGGAGAAGAGCCUGAGGAAAAGGAGGUCCAACAACUGGCCCAAAGUUGGAUCCAGCUCCAAGGGAGGCCGCAAGGUCUGACACAAUUAUUGAUGCUACGGAGCUCUUACAAAAAAGGGACUUACCAUGACCGCACUCUGAAAGACCCAACAAGCAGCUGAAAGAGUCAGAUGCAAAUAUUUACACCCAGCCAAUGGAC